rnacentral:pre_miRNA from 1 species
AGGCAGUGUCGUUAGCUGAUUGUGUUUUCUAGCUUUGCAAUCACUAACUACACUACCAUC